rnacentral:rRNA from 1 species
CCCAGACUCCUACGGGAGGCAGCAGUGGGGGAUAUUGCACAAUGGGGGGAACCCUGAUGCAGCGACGCCGCGUGGGUGAAGGAGCGUUUCGGCGCGUAAAGCCCUAUCGGCAGGGAAGAAGGAGGACGGUACCUGACUAAGAAGCCCCGGCUAACUACGUGCCAGUAGCCGCGGUAAUACGUAGGGGGCAAGCGUUAUCCGGAUUUACUGGGUGUAAAGGGGGCGCAGACGGCAGCGUAAGCCAGGAGUGAAAGCCCGGGGCCCAACCCCGGGACUGCUCUUGGAACUGCGCGGCUGGAGUGCAGGAGGGGCAGGCGGAAUUCCUGGUGUAGCGGUGAAAUGCGUAGAUAUCGGGAGGAACACCGGUGGCGAAGGCGGCCUGCUGGACUGCGACUGACGUUGAGGCCCGAAAGCGUGGGGAGCAAACAGGAUUAGAUACCCCAGUAA